GAUGAACGCUGGCGGCGUGCCUAAUACAUGCAAGUCGAGCGAACAGACGAGGAGCUUGCUCCUCUGACGUUAGCGGCGGACGGGUGAGUAACACGUGGAUAACCUACCUAUAAGACUGGGAUAACUUCGGGAAACCGGAGCUAAUACCGGAUAAUAUAUUGAACCGCAUGGUUCAAUAGUGAAAGACGGUUUUGCUGUCACUUAUAGAUGGAUCCGCGCCGCAUUAGCUAGUUGGUAAGGUAACGGCUUACCAAGGCAACGAUGGGUAGCCGACCUGAGAGGGUGAUCGGCCACACUGGAACUGAGACACGGUCCAGACUCCUACGGGAGGCAGCAGUAGGGAAUCUUCCGCAAUGGGCGAAAGCCUGACGGAGCAACGCCGCGUGAGUGAUGAAGGUCUUCGGAUCGGAAAACUCUGUUAUUAGGGAAGAACAAAUGUGUAAGUAACUAUGCACGUCUUGACGGUACCUAAUCAGAAAGCCACGGCUAACUACGUG
rnacentral:rRNA from 1 species